GAUGAACGCUGGCGGCGUGCUUAACACAUGCAAGUCGAGCGAAGCACUAAAGCGGAUUUCUUCGGAUUGAAGGUUUAGUGACUGAGCGGCGGACGGGUGAGUAACGCGUGGGUAACCUGCCUCAUACAGGGGGAUAACAGUUGGAAACGGCUGCUAAUACCGCAUAAGCGCACAGUACCGCAUGGUACGGUGUGAAAAACUCCGGUGGUAUGAGAUGGACCCGCGUCUGAUUAGGUAGUUGGUGGGGUAACGGCCUACCAAGCCGACGAUCAGUAGCCGACCUGAGAGGGUGACCGGCCACAUUGGGACUGAGACACGGCCCAAACUCCUACGGGAGGCAGCAGUGGGGAAUAUUGCACAAUGGGGGAAACCCUGAUGCAGCGACGCCGCGUGAGCGAAGAAGUAUUUCGGUAUGUAAAGCUCUAUCAG
rnacentral:rRNA from 1 species